CACUAGCCCCGAUUGUAGUGGAAAUCCUUUUGGAGCUGGGGUUCAGCCCCAAAAGAUUAUAACGAAGAGCGGGACUUUGC
rfam:Flavobacterium succinicans strain DD5b FLB_contig000046, whole genome shotgun sequence.